AGUUUUCUGAAUCCGUACUGAGAUUUCUUCAGACACCAACCCAUUAGGGCUGAUCGGAAUUCCAAGAUAAGGAAAGUU
rnacentral:pre_miRNA from 1 species